rnacentral:lncRNA from 1 species
UGAUGUGAUCUCCUUCCAUUCUUGUGUCCAUGGAGAUGUAACAGUUUAAUUUUUUUCUGGUCCUUAGGUCUAAUACAUUCUGAGAACAGCAGCAUUUCCUCCUUCAGAAAUAAUUUUACUACUCUAUAACAUACCAGCAUCCUGGCAACCUUCCUAAACCUGUGUGGAGGUGGAUGUGGGAGCUAUUUUGUUUUAAGGAGAUGUUUUCUCUAACUAUGGCUUCCUGCUGGGUCAGAGUGAGCUCACAGAGCACUUGCUUGAGAAGGGAAGGAAAGAAAUUCAGAUUCUAAGUGGUGGCAAGGUUUUGAACAUGCUUUCCAUGCCAACAAGAUGCAUUGCUCAGCAUGCUGGUUUGGUGGGAGAACAGGUA